CCCGAAGUCCGUGAGGUAACCGUAAGGAGCCAGCGGCCGAAGGUGGGAUUAGUGAUUGGGGUGAAGUCGUAACAAGGUAGCCGUAGGAGAACCUGCGGCUGGAUCACCUCCUUUCUAAGGAGA
rnacentral:rRNA from 1 species